ACCAUGAACAGUUCUGUUCACAUUUUGGAUGCACGAAGUAGAGCAUAAACCCAAGUAAAGAGCCCUGAACUUGCAGACUCAACCUAACUUCUCUAAGUGUGAAGAGAGCCCUAGAUAUUCCUGAUUGGUCAGUGGAAGAGCCCAACUUCAGACAUUGUUUUCUGCAGCACAAAGAGAGUAUUCAAAAGCAAAGGGAAGUUUCUUUAUUUUUAUUCCAUUGCUUUCAGUUCAGUAAAACUGUUUCAUCUGCACCUGAAGUGUAUGGCACAGUUUUCUUAAGAAUUAGGGGAACAAGGUGCUUACAGUUACAGGAACGUUUCAGUUCCUUUCAGUCAUUCCUGGGUUUUUCUUUGUUUUAUUUUCUAAGGAGGUUGAAGAAGGAAGAGUUGAUAAAGAAGAAAGCAACACCAUUGACUUUCUUUUUUUUUAAACAAAUGAUAUAUAUAUGUGUGUAUAUGUUUGUGUGUGUAUGUGUUCUGUGUAUUAUUUUGUCAUGAUCCCAAUUAUCUUCUUUCCACCAAAGUUUGCAGUAAUAUUCUCUCCUGAAGGUGCAUUCUGGCUCCUUUAAAUUAGUCAGUGUUAUAUUGUAGGAGACUGUCAUGGGAAAGGACUCAGUUUACUUUUGCCAUUUUCACAGGGGAACCUUUUAAAACAAUCUAUUCAGCAGAAGAAACCUUUAACCCUAAUAAUCUCAGGCCUUGAUGAAAAUACUAUAUUUUGUAGAUUAUGGUUAAAGGGAGAAAAUAUUAGUUCUGUAAGAUAAAUAUGAGCUCCAUUAACUUCUGAUAUCUGGUUUAGCAUUACAUAAUGUGUUGAUCUUAUGCUCUGCUUUUGUCCAAAUAAGAUGCAAUAGUAUCAAUAUUAGUUUCUGAACGAUGGACUGAAUAUGCUUUUUUUGGUAAUGAAAUCUGAUGUACGAUAUUUAUAGUGACAUGUGCUUUUAUUUUCUCAUGAGAAAACUAAAUUGUGUUGUACAUUUGUUCUUAGCAUAUAUUAAAGUUUUGAACCAAAUGUGUUAAAGCUUAUGCUUUGCCAUGUAAAUUUCCCAGAAGUUGUUGAGCUCAAAUGUAUCCUACAUCCAGCUGUAGAAAUUUGUCAGAAAUUGUUUAAAUUUUGUAUAUAGUUGUACUGUUUAAUUCUAGCCACUGCGCUGAACAGUAUUCGAGUUACCAUACAAUAUGGCUUUACACAAGGAAAUGUGUGGCUUUUGUUUUGUAUUUUUUCAGUAUAGAAGUUCCUGUGUCUUCUUAUUUAAAUAAAGUUAUUAGUAAAACUGG
rnacentral:lncRNA from 1 species